UACGGAGGGUGCAAGCGUUAUCCGGAUUUACUGGGCUUAAAGGGUGUGCAGGCGGGCUUUUAAGUCCGUGGUGAAAUCUCCGGGCUCAACCCGGAAACUGCCAUUGAUACUAUUAGUCUUGAAUUUUGUUGAGGUAGGCGGAAUAAGUCAUGUAGCGGUGAAAUGCAUAGAUAUGACUUAGAACACCAAUUGCGAAGGCAGCUUGCUAAACAAAUAUUGACGCUGAGGCACGAAAGCGUGGGGAUCAAACAGG
rnacentral:rRNA from 1 species